rnacentral:rRNA from 1 species
UACAGAGGUCUCAAGCGUUGUUCGGAUUCAUUGGGCGUAAAGGGCUCGUAGGCGGUCUGUUGCGUCAGGAGUGAAAACUCGGGGCUUAACCCCGAGCCUGCUUCUGAUACGGGCAGACUAGAGGUAUGCAGGGGAGAACGGAAUUCCUGGUGUAGCGGUGAAAUGCGCAGAUAUCAGGAGGAACACCGGUGGCGAAGGCGGUUCUCUGGGCAUUACCUGACGCUGAGGAGCGAAAGUGUGGGGAGCGAACAGG